rnacentral:rRNA from 1 species
GAUGAACGCUGGCGGCGUGCCUAAUACAUGCCAGUCGAGCGAACAGACGAGGAGCUUGCUCCUCUGACGUUAGCGGCGGACGGGUGAGUAACACGUGGAUAACCUACCUAUAAGACUGGGAUAACUUCGGGAAACCGGAGCUAAUACCGGAUAAUAUAUUGAACCGCAUGGUUCAAUAGUGAAAGACGGUUUUGCUGUCACUUAUAGAUGGAUCCGCGCCGCAUUAGCUAGUUGGUAAGGUAACGGCUUACCAAGGCGACGAUGCGUAGCCGACCUGAGAGGGUGAUCGGCCACACUGGAACUGAGACACGGUCCAGACUCCUACGGGAGGCAGCAGUAGGGAAUCUUCCGCAAUGGGCGAAAGCCUGACGGAGCAACGCCGCGUGAGUGAUGAAGGUCUUCGGAUCGUAAAGCUCUGUUAGUAGGGAAGAACAAAUGUGUAAGUAACUAUGCACGUCUUGACGGUACCUAAUCAGAAAGCCACGGCUAACUACGUG